rnacentral:misc_RNA from 1 species
GAUGAAGAACGUAGCGAAAUGCGAUAAGUAAUGUGAAUUGCAGAAUUCAGUGAACCAUCGAAUCUUUGAACGCACAUUGCGCCCCCUGGUAUUCCGGGGGGCAUGCCUGUCCGAGCGUCAUUACAACCCUCAAGCUCAGCUUGGUAUUGGGCCCCGCCGCUUCGGCGGGCCCUAAAGUCAGUGGCGGUGCCGUCCGGCUCCGAGCGUAGUAAUUCUUCUCGCUCUGGAGGCCCGGUCGUGUGCUUGCCAGCAACCCCCAAUUUUUUUCGGGUUGACCUCGGAUCAGGUAGGGAUACCCGCUGAACUUAAGCAUAUCAAUAAGCGGAGGA